CUACGGGCUGCACCAGUGGGGAAUAUUGCACAAUGGGCGCAAGCCUGGUGCAGCAACGCCGCGUGAGGGACGAAGGCCUUCGGGUUGUAAACCUCUUUUAGCAGGGAAGAAGCGAAAGUGACGGUACCUGCAGAAAAAGCACCGGCUAACUACGUGCCAGCAGCCGCGGUAAUACGUAGGGUGCAAGCGUUGUCCGGAAUUAUUGGGCGUAAAGAGCUCGUAGGCGGUUUGUCACGUCUGCUGUGAAAUUUCGAGGCUCAACCUCGAACUUGCAGUGGGUACGGGCAGGCUAGAGUGCGGUAGGGGAGAUGGGAAUUCCUGGUGUAGCGGUGGAAUGCGCAGAUAUCAGGAGGAACACCAAUGGCGAAGGCACAUCUCUGGGCCGUAACUGACGCUGAGGAGCGAAAGCGUGGGGAGCGAACAGGAUUAGAUACCCUCGUAGUC
rnacentral:rRNA from 1 species